rnacentral:tRNA from 1 species
GCCUGGGUGGCUCAGUCGGUUGAGUGUCCGACUUCAGCUCGGGUCAUCUCACGGUUUGUGAGUUCGAGCCCCGUGUCGGGCU